CACGUAGGGUGCGAGCGUUGUCCGGAAUUAUUGGGCGUAAAGAGCUCGUAGGCGGUGUGUCGCGUCGGCCGUGAAACCUGACAGCUUAACUGUGGGCGUGCGGUCGAUACGGGCAUCACUGGAGGUUCGGCAGGGAGACUGGAAUUCCUGGUGAUGAGCGGUGAAAUGCGCAGAUAUCAGGAGGAACACCGGUGGCGAAGGCGGGUCUCUGGGC
rnacentral:rRNA from 1 species